CGCGUAGGCGGUCGAUCGAGUCCAAGGUGAAAUCUUCCGGCUCAACCGGAAAACUGCUUUGGAUACUGGUCGUCUGGAGGGAGGAAGGGGCAGCUGGAACUUCCGGUGGAGCGGUGAAAUGCGUUGAUACCGGAAGGAACGCCGGUGGCGAAAGCGAGCUGCUGGGCCUCUACUGACGCUGAGGCGCGAAAGCCAGGGGAGCGAACGGGAUUAGAUACCCCGGUAGUCCUGGCCCUAAACGAUGGGUACUAGGUAGCGGACUUGACAUGGGUUCGCUGCUGAAACAAAAGCGUUAAGUACCCCGCCUGGGGAGUACGGUCGCAAGGCUGAA
rnacentral:rRNA from 1 species